UACGUAGGGUGCGAGCGUUAAUCGGAAUUACUGGGCGUAAAGCGUGCGCAGGCGGUUUUGUAAGCCAGAUGUGAAAUCCCCGGGCUUAACCUGGGAAUGGCAUUUGGGACUGCAAGGCUUGAGUGCGGCAGAGGAGACUGGAAUUCCUGGUGUAGCAGUGAAAUGCGUAGAUAUCAAGAGGAACACCUGAGGUGAAGACGGGUUGCUGGGCCAACACUGACGCUGAUGCGCGAAAGCCAGGGGAGCAAACGGG
rnacentral:rRNA from 1 species